AUUAAAAAUGGGCACAGAAAGUUCAAGUUCCUGAAACAGGAGCAGUCAGGGCCAGAGUGGGCGGGGCCCGUUGUUCCGGGACUGGUUUCUGUGGGAAACCCCUCAGGGCCCAGCGAGCACACCUGCAGCCACACCUGGCCAGCAUCGGCCCAGCCCGGGCAGAGCUGCAGCCAGAUCCUCAGGGUCCUUCUGGCACCCCCAUGUCCCCCUGUCCCCGCAGGGCUCCGGGCGGCCGUGACCCUGCUGGAGUGCGGGGGGGACCUCCAGCCCCCCGGGGGGUCCCUGCGCCUCCUCUGCCGAGGGGCCGGGUUCGAUUUCGGGAGUUUUUCCAUAAGCUGGGUUCGCCAGAGACCCGGGCAGGGGCUGGAGUUUGUCGCAGGGAUCAGCAGCAGUGGUGACUACACCUACUACGCGCCAUCGCUCCAGGCCCGGGUCAGGAUCUCCAGGGACAACGGGCAGAGCUCGGUGACGCUGACCAUGACCGACCUGCGGGACGAGGAUUCCGGAUCCUAUUUCUGUGCCAAGCAUGCUGAAUGGGGUGCUCGUUAUAACGAUGCCUAUGGUAUUGGCGCCUCGCCCAUGUCCGUCUGUCCCCCGUCCCCGUUCCCCAACCCCCACCCCUGACCCCGUUCCUGUCCC